rnacentral:rRNA from 1 species
CCUACGGGGGUCAGCAGUGAGGAAUAUUGGUCAAUGGACGAGAGUCUGAACCAGCCAAGUAGCGUGAAGGAUGACUGCCCUAUGGGUUGUAAACUUCUUUUAUAUGGGAAUAAAACGUUCCACGUGUGGGAUUUUGUAUGUACCAUAUGAAUAAGGAUCGGCUAACUCCGUGCCAGCAGCCGCGGUAAUACGGAGGAUCCGAGCGUUAUCCGGAUUUAUUGGGUUUAAAUGGAGCGUAGGUGGAUUGUUAAGUCAGUUGUGAAAGUUUGCGGCUCAACCGUAAAAUUGCAGUUGAAACUGGCAGUCUUGAGUACAGUAGAGGUGGGCGGAAUUCGUGGUGUAGCGGUGAAAUGCUUAGAUAUCACGAAGAACUCCGAUUGCGAAGGCAGUUCACUGGACUGCAACUGACACUGAGGCUCGAAAGUGUGGGUAUCAAACAGGAGUAGAUACCCGUGUAGUC